GAUCAUGGCUCAGGAUGAACGCUGGCGGCGUGCCUAAUACAUGCAAGUAGAACGCUGAAGCUUGGUGCUUGCACCGAGCGGAAGAGUUGCGAACGGGUGAGUAACGCGUAGGUAACCUGCCUCUUAGCGGGGGAUAACUAUUGGAAACGAUAGCUAAUACCGCAUAAAAGUCGACAUUGCAUGAUGUUGACUUGAAAGGUGCAACUGCAUCACUAAGAGAUUGG
rnacentral:rRNA from 1 species